rnacentral:lncRNA from 10 species
AGCGCCCAGGACCCGGGACUGCGUCCUCUUCACUGAGACCUGGCGCAUAGGGGGCCUAGUCGAGGCUGUUAAGUGAAAGCAAGCAGGGGUGGCGUGGGCCUGGCGCUCAGGUGCGCCCUAAAUGUUUGGUCAUAGCUGGCUACAAGGACAUUCGCGCAGGCUUGGAGGUGCGGGGCAGCCUGACGUGUUGCCUCUGGGGUAACCGAGGGACGCGCGGCAAACAGAGAUGGAGGACUGGCAACGGGUGCCUCGAAGAGGUCUCCUUCAGUACCUCCCACUGGCUGAGCCAGCAGGAAGCCUACAAGCAAGGAACCCAGAUGGUGCUGCUUUCAAAGUCCACCUCUGCAGGUAAAGAGCAGAGUGCAAAAGGGUGAAGGGUGGAUCGGUAGGAGCAAAGGCAAGAAUACCUAGCAGGUGUGUGAUCAUCUGACAGUGUGGAAACUGCCAAAGCAUGUAGCCAAGGGCCUUAAGGGAACCUGGAAAACCAAGGCUUCUAGAGAUAAAAAGCUAAGGUAGCAAGAGGGCAAGUAAGACAGGUGGAAGGGGCAGAAAAGAGUAACUGAUGAGGACGAGGGCCAGAAAUGGGCCAGAAAUGAGACCAUUUUAUUGUUUGGUUAAAUACUGAGCUGGAGUCUGAGCUAGGGAAGAAAUUAAGAGGACAUAUGUCUGAGUUGAGUUGAACUGGAGCAUUAAAAAUU